UACCCUUGACAUGCCACUAACGAAGCAUAGAUGCAUUAGGUGCUCGAAAGAGAAAGUGGACACAGGUGCUGCAUGGCUGUCGUCAGCUCGUGUCGUGAGAUGUUGGGUUAAGUCCCGCAACGAGCGCAACCCUUGUCUCUAGUUGCUACGAAAGGGCACUCUAGAGAGACUGCCGGUGACAAACCGGAGGAAGGUGGGGAUGACGUCAAGUCCUCAUGGCCCUUAUGGGUAGGG
rnacentral:rRNA from 1 species